rnacentral:lncRNA from 1 species
UAGCAAGAAGGAAACGUCUAGAACUUGUAAAUGUGAGCGUCGAUUUCUAGGGAUAAGACAAUAAGAUUAUUAUAUAAGAAAGAAAGAUUUGAUCUGAAUACCUAAAUUUCUUAUCGUUCAGAUUUUGGAAUAAUAACAUCAGACGAUGGUUUCGAUCUGAGGCAAGGAUGGAUUUUAUAGGCAAAAUUGUAGCAGCGAGGAAGGUAGAAAAAUCAGCCGGGGUAGAGGAAUCGACAGACGGUAGAUUUGAUGAGACACGAUCCAUCUGAAAUGGAGGUAAAUUUUAUGAGACACAAUUUCGUCGAUCCUGUCUAAAACGGAAAUAGGGGACGGAUGCUGCGGCGAAGAGAGGAGAAGAAACGAUUUAUUGUAACGGACAUGAUAAGAAGCAAGGUCGCGCGGAGGGGGAGCGAUUUACUGUAACAGACAUAAGAAGAAGCAAGGUCGUGCGGAGGCGGAGCGAUUUACUGUUUUUCGUGGAGAAUAUGCAAGGUCGCGUGUAUUGGUUCAAUUUGAUUCAGAGGUUUAGAUAGUGAACGGUUCGCAUCGGUUCAGUUUGGUCCUAUUGAGUUUAGAGGUUCAGAGAGAGACAGUUCAAUGGUUCGUUUCAGAUGUUUAGAGACAACGGUUCUAUAGGCAAAAAUGUAGCAGCGAUGAGGGUAGAAGAAUCGGCCAGGGAAGAGGAAUCGGCGGACGGUAGAUUUGAUGAGACACGAUCCAUCUGAAACGGUGGUAGAUUUUAUGAGACACGAUCUCGUCGAUCCCGUCUGAAAUAGAAAUAGGGGACAGAUGCUGCGGCGGAGAGAGGAGAAGAAAUGUUUUACUGUAACGGACAUGAGAAGAAGCAAGGUCGCAUGGAGGGAAAGGGAUUUAUUGUAACGGACAUGAGAAGAAGUAAGGUCGUGCGGAGGCGGAGCGAUUUACUGUUUUGCGUGGAGAAGAAGCAAGGUCGUGUGUAUUGGUUUGGUUUGAUUUAGAGGUUUAGAUAGUGAACGGUUCGCUUCGGUUCGGUUUGGUUCGGUUUGGUUCAGAGGUUCAGAGAGAGGUAGUUCAAUAGUUCGGUUCAGAUGUUUAGAGACAACAGUUCGGUUCGGUUCGGUUCAGAGGUUAAGAGAGAGGCAGUUCAAGACUAAAUUACCAAUCAUUCUUGAAAAUAAUAAAUGGUUAGAAAUUAUAUGUUGAUCAAAAAGGAACAAUUCAUGGCAAAGAGAACUACUAACCUGAAACCCUAGCAAGAAAGAAACGUCCAGAUCUUGUAAAGAUGAGCGUCGAUUUCUAGGGAUAAGACAAUAAGAUUAUUGCAUAAGAAAGAAAGAUUUGAUCUGAAUACCUAAAUUUCUUAUCGUUCAGAUUUUGGAUUAAUAACAUCAGAUGAUGGUUUCGAUCUGAGGCAAUGAUGGAUUUUAUAGGCAAAAUUGUAGCAGCGAGGAAGGUAAAAGAAUCGGCCACGGUAGAGGAAUCGACAAACGGUAGAUUUGAUAAGACACGAUCCAUCUGAAACGGUGGUAGAUUUUAUGAGACAUGAUCUCGUCGAUCCUGUCUAAAACGGAAAUAGGGGACGGAUGCUGCGGCGGAGAGAGGAGAAGAAACGAUUUAUUGUAACGGGCAUGAGAAGAAGCAAGGUCUCGCGCAGGGGGAGCGAUUUACUGUAACAGACAUGAGAAGAAGUAAGGUCGUGCGGAGGCAGAGCAAUUUACUAUUUUUGGUGGAGAAUAAGCAAGGUCGUGUGUAUUGGUUCAAUUUGAUUUAGAGGUUUAGAUAGUGAACAGUUCGCAUCAGUUCAGUUUGGUCCUGUUCGGUUUAGAGGUUCAGGGAGGGGCAGUUCAAUGGUUCGGUUCAGAUGUUUAAAGACAACGGUUCUAUAGGCAAAAUAGGCAAAAAUGUAGCAGCGAUGACGGUAGAAGAAUCGGCUAGCGUAGAGGAAUCGGCGGACGGUAGAUUUGAUGAGACACGAUCCAUCUGAAACGGUGGUAGAUUUUAUGCGACACGAUCUCGUCGAUCCCGUUUGAAAUAGAAAUAGGGGACGAAUACUGCGGCGAAGAGAGGAGAAGAAACGAUUUAUUGUUACAGACAUGAGAAAAAGCAAGGUCGCGCAGAGGGGAAGCGAUUUAUUGUAACGGACAUGAGAAAAAGCAAGGUCGUGCGGAGGCGGAGCGAUUUACUGUUUUGCAUUGAGAAAAAGCAAGGUCGUGUGUAUUGGUUUGGUUUGAUUUAGAGGUUUAGAUAGUGAACGGUUCGCUUCGGUUCGGUUUGGUUCGGUUUGGUUCAGAGGUUCAGAGAGAGGUAGUUCAAUGGUUCGGUUCAGAUGUUUAGAGACAACAGUUCGGUUUGGUUCAGUUCAGCGGUUCAGAGAGAGAUAGUUCAAGACUAAAUUA